rnacentral:rRNA from 1 species
UACGUAGGGUGCUAGCGUUGUUCGGAAUCAUUGGGCGUAAAGCGCGUGUAGGUGGCUUGUUAAGUCGGUUGUGAAAGCCCAGGGCUCAACCCUGGAAGUGCAUCCGAAACUAGCUCGCUAGAGGACAGCAGAGGGAGGUGGAAUUCCUAGUGUAGAGGUGAAAUUCGUAGAUAUUAGGAGGAAUACCGGUGGCGAAGGCGGCCUCCUGGACUGUUCCUGACACUGAGACGCGAAAGCGUGGGUAGCAAACAGG